rnacentral:RNase_P_RNA from 1 species
AGAGCUGGCCAGGCAACCGCUGUCGCCCAUCCGGGUGAUAGAGGAAAGUCCGGGCUCCGAAGGGCAAGGUGCCAGGUAACUCCUGGGAGGCGCGAGCCUACGGAAAGUGCAACAGAAAGCAAACCGCCUAAGCAGCCUUGGCUGCCGGUAAGGGUGAAAAGGUGCGGUAAGAGCGCACCGCACGGCUGGUAACAUGCCGUGGCACGGUAAACCCCACCUGGAGCAAGACCAAAUAGGAAUCCUAUGAUGUGGCCCGCAUGCUGGAUUCGGGUAGGUCGCUAGAGGUGCAUGGUGACAUGCAUCCCAGAUGAAUGGUUGUCCACGACAGAACCCGGCUUACAGGCUGACUCUUUUG